rnacentral:rRNA from 1 species
AAAAAGCGGCGGGGCUAACACAUGCAAGUCGAGCGAGACCUUCGGGUCUAGCGGCGGACGGGUGAGUAACGCGUGGGAACGUGCCCUUUUCUGCGGAAUAGCCUCGGGAAACUGAGCGUAAUACCGCAUACGCCCUUUGGGGGAAAGAUUUAUCGGAAAAGGAUCGGCCCGCGUUGGAUUAGGUAGUUGGUGGGGUAACGGCCUACCAAGCCGACGAUCCAUAGCUGGUUUGAGAGGAUGAUCAGCCACACUGGGACUGAGACACGGCCCAGACUCCUACGGGAGGCAGCAGUGGGGAAUCUUAGACAAUGGGGGCAACCCUGAUCUAGCCAUGCCGCGUGAGUGAUGAAGGCCUUAGGGUUGUAAAGCUCUUUCAGCUGGGAAGAUAAUGACGGUACCAGCAGAAGAAGCCCCGGCUAACUCCGUGCCAGCAGCCGCGGUAAUACGGAGGGGGCUAGCGUUGUUCGGAAUUACUGGGCGUAAAGCGCACGUAGGCGGACCAGAAAGUUGGGGGUGAAAUCCCGGGGCUCAACCUCGGAACUGCCUUCAAAACUAUUGGUCUGGAGUUCGAGAGAGGUGAGUGGAAUUCCGAGUGUAGAGGUGAA